rnacentral:rRNA from 1 species
UUUUUGUAUUACGACUAAAGGACCCGAAUUUAGGUGAUCUAAAACAAAAAAUAUAUUUUUCUCAUAAAAAAGAGGAGUAAAACAAAAAGUUCUAAAAAAGAAAAUCGGACCUAAAAAACUGGCUUUGAUCAAUUUCAGAAAGUAAACAAAAAAAUUACCUAUCAAAGAGGAUAAGAUUAGAAAAAAAAUUUUUCAAAAAACUUUGAAAAAAAUUGAAAAAUAUCGGGAUUAAGAUCAAUUUAAAAAAUAAUCUUUAGAGAAAAAAUAAAUUUAAAAGAAUUCAAAACAAAAAAAAUCCCCGACUGUUUAACAAAAACAUUUCUUCAAAAAUUAAAUUGAAGUAGGCCCUGCUCACAUAAAAAAUUAAAAAAGCCAAAAAUUUGCAAAGGUAGCAUAAUUACUAGCCGCCUAAUUGGCGGAUUGUCUGAAUGGGUUAACGCGGGAAAAAUUUUCUAUAAAUUUAGUAAAAUAAGAUGGAGGUUAAAUCUCCCCCAAUAAAAAAAAAGACGAUAAGACCCUUUAAUCUUUUUUUUUAGAAGAAUUGAAUUGUUGGGGCAACAGAGAAUAUAAUUUUCUUUUCAGAGGUUUUUACUAUUUAUUAAAUGAGAAUAUGAUACUAAAGGGAUAACAGCAUAAUAUUUUCUUAGAAGACCCAAUUUUAAGAAAAGAGUAUGACCUCGAUGUUGAACCAGAGAAAAU